rnacentral:rRNA from 1 species
GUGUCAGCCGCCGCGGUAAUACAGAGGGUGCAAGCGUUGUUCGGAAUUAUUGGGCGUAAAGCGCGUGUAGGCGGCUGGACAAGUUGGGUGUGAAAGCCCUCGGCUUAACCGAGGAAGUGCGCCCAAAACUAUCUAGCUUGAGUACCGGAGAGGGUGGCGGAAUUCCCGGUGUAGAGGUGAAAUUCGUAGAUAUCGGGAGGAACACCAGUGGCGAAGGCGGCCACCUGGACGGAUACUGACGCUGAGACGCGAAAGCGUGGGUAGCAAACAGGAUUAGAAACCCGCGUAGUCC